ACGAAGAGACGAAGCUGCCUGCUGAGAAAAAUAGAAGAAUGGAAGACAGUCGUAUCGAUGGCUCUCGUGUACUACGUAGUGGUUUAUACAACAGACAGUUGAUUGGCGUGCCGACUUCGUUACGCGUGUGCGUUCGUAAUGAUAAGAGUGGCUUAUAGCUUUCUUGAAAAUCACCAACCGACCAAGGACGGCGGUUAGGACAUCCUGUGGCAAAUAAAAUAAUAAAAAAAAAGUACAGGAAAUAUCCCUUCGAGUGCGAGAUAGUCUGAUUUAUGGCGCAAAUAGCAGAGGUUAUCCGGCGCCGUUGGAAAUUCAGUGAUUCAUUGGUGCUCGCGAAAAGCCCUGGUGCGGUGCCUCGUUUAUGGCACGAUAGUGUAAGGGCAGUCGCGACGUCGGACGCCUACGCAAAACUUGACAUUGCGGGAGGAGCGUGUCUCUGAGUUAGAUUUUAGGAAGUGGUGAGAGAGACAGAGAGAGAGAGAGAGAGAGAGAGAGAGAGAGAGAGAGAGAGAGAGAGAGAGAGAGAGAGAGAGAGAGAGAGAGAGAGAGAGAGAGAGUGAGAAAGAGAAUAGGGGGACUGGUUGGUUAACUGCGAGUGGAAGGGGGACGGAGUCGUAAAUGAAGAAAAACAAAGAAUCGGAUGAAAAGGAAGUAAAGAAUGGUGGACGGGAGAGAAGCUACUCGGACAAAACCUGCCUGUAAGAAUCGGGAUCAGCCUGUCUCAGAUGAACCUCGAUGUCCCGUGUCCUUGGAGAUCUGACCAGCUCACGAAGUUUGACCAAACCUGUUGAAACAAAUUUUUUGUUACAUGUAACUUUAUUUUUUUUUUCAAAUUUCUCACGUCAAAUACCAUCCACUCCACAUUCGACUCAUCGGCAGGUAGAGUGACUCGUUUCGCUAGUUAAAUGGACGGAAACCUGUAAAUCGCGACAGCCGAUGAAAUCAAUACUGGCACGCGUCUAAGUAAUCAAGGUAUCAUCUCAACUUGUGGGUCUUCGCCGAGGUUCGCCGGUUCGUUCCCCUCCAAGUUUACGCGAAACUCCAAGAGACAGGGUUGAAUAAACCCUGGGGUUAGGGGGUGGUCGGGCAGGGCCAGAUAGUGAGUCCACCAAGUGAAAUCAGUUUGAGUUGACUCGAGUCAACUUGAAUUGCGUAAAUAAAGACUCGUGGUGGUUUUAUCGCUUUGAUGGAAAUUCAGCGAAAUGAUGCUGGGAUCGGUAUACGAGGACGAGCCAGGAGGAAAGAGUUGUUUACUGUGUGUAUGUAAAAUAUACCAGACCCGUUAUAUACAUGACUAUCCUUCCCCCUUUAUACGGAUAAGUUUACUAUGUUAAUUUAACAAAUUUUUAUUUACAUCAGCAAAGUUACGCGAGUCAUGAGUUUUUUUGGAUAUACGUGAAUAAUUCAAUAUGGCGCUUGAUUUCGUUUGGAUUCAUUUUUUUAACUGUGGAGCAGUUGGUACUGCCGUGAAUGGCUGCUGAUGAGGACUCGACAAACUCGCUGAUAAAUCAAUGAAGGACCAGGCAGGAUGUUCGAAAUAUGUGGAAGCUCCGCGACCAAGAAGUGCCCCAGGAUAAUGGACCGAAUGAGCUGCGAUUUUGGAAGAAAAAAAAGAACACUGUCAAGGACCAGGGGUAAUUUCUCCAGGGAGAAAAAGUGUGCCGUAUAGGUGGUCCUGAGGCGGAGAAAGAAAAACAAGAGACUGGAGGAGCGAAAGCAGAAAUAGAAAAGAGACGGGAGAAGAUUGAAGCGAUUGAGAUGUACCAAGGAUAUUAAUGGAGCUCCUUGAGGAUCGGACAUUUCCCACGGGAGGGCGCUGGCUUUUCUGGGAAGAGUCCUGGCAAAUCAGGAUAACGAUACCGUAAAGGAUCUCAGAAUGGAGAGAAUCGUAAAGUUCUGCGGUUGGUAAUCGAGAGAGCAUUGAUGUGGCCAUUUUUUGCCCUUUCCGCCUUUUUUUUCCCUUCCUUUCUCCCUCUCUUUUCCUUUCAUCCCUCAUACAAGUCUUCGUAAAACUCCUCCGAGCCCAGGACGGGGAUGGUGCCUCUUUACGAUUACGAUUACCGUACGCAAUAUCGCGGCGUUAACUUUAUUUACGAGGGGUAAUUGAAGCCCUCGCAAUGUUUUAUUAUUCCGUCCCCCCCCCCCAAUGAGGCGGUGGAGAGGAGGGGUUGGCGGGAACCAAGCUGCGAGCAAAAUUGCGCACGGAUACGGAGAUGCCCUCCUGGCCGUUAAGUCGCCUGUCUUUUUUCGCAGCCUCCGUAAGAAUUGGUACUCGGAUCCGGGAGGGGAUGAAAACUUUAGGAGAUUGUCCCUCGGGAAUAAGCGAUGUAAGGGUGGCGAUGAAAAUCUAGAGGAUCGGAUUUAGGCUGGUUCGCGUUGAUUUAAGUUUUAAAAUGCCGUCUUAUCCCAUCUCGGGCGUAGCCAGGGAUGCUGGGAGGGAUGAGAUCCUGGGCGACGGACAAAUCGAAAAUUUUAAUACGGACGAGCAAAGGGAUGAAAAUAGAAAUGGACGGUACACGCAAGUGCGAAAUGAAUUUUGGUAUCUUGGCAACCCGUAAGAUUGGCUCUUGCCAAUGAGAACCGCACGGCAAUAAAUUGGCAAAGGGAACCGAUCUUGCGAUAAGAAUUAUUAUCCUUCGUUGAUAUGUUUAUGCGAAAUUACGAUCGUAUUGUUAUUCACCUGUUAGACAAAUUGGAUAAAUUAAAUUUUUAUAUCCGUGUCUGUGUAGCAGUUCUUAAGUAGACAUAUACCUGUGUAACAUUCA